GUUUGAUUAGGUUUACAGCUAAUCUCUGCAGGAGUGGGACAGAUUUGAGGAUGCCCAAUAUACAUUAUAAAGAAAAUCAUCUCAGCAUCUGGAGCAGACGUGAUGAUUUCUAAUGAAACUCAAACUGAGAACGUCCUUCUCUGCUAUCCACUCCGGUUGGACUCCUGUCCAAAACUGCUUCGUCUUACUGUGGUUAAAGUGGCAAUCUUCAGUCUCCAACUCAUCUGAUCGUUCGCUCUCUGGCUGUUAGUGACUGUCUGCUGGGCUCUUUGGUCAUGCCGUACAGCAUGGUGCGAUCUGUUGAAGGCUGCUGGUAUCUGGGAGAUGUUGUAUGUAAAGUUCAUUCUAGUUUAGACAUGACCUUUUGUAUCUCCUCAAUACUGCAUCUCAGUUUAAUAUCUGUUGAC